rnacentral:siRNA from 1 species
ACCCGGAAUUCACAGCCAAAUGUA